AUGCCACUAUGUUGAUGGCAUCACACCUCCUAUAGAAAUGUGCCUCCCUCUGACUGUAUUCAUUUGCACCAACACCCUGCUACCUUCAACAUAGGAAGAGACAGAUCCAGAAGCUCCAUCAAAUAUUUCUUCAACAAAGAUGGCUGGCCUGUGUUGGAUUUCUGUGCUGCUGGCAGUCAGUCUGUCGAUUGGAAACUGUGAGCCGUUGGAUAUAAGUUAUGUUAAAAGAAUUUUCCAACCAAUCUGGAGCAACUACCUAAUCAAAAACCAGCAGUUCUGUGUGGCUGUAAACAUCCCAGAGGACCCGAAGCAAUUGGCUCAGGCUUUUCCUAAUAUCAAUAAGGACACAAUGAAAAAGGAGGUUUUAAGUGGUAAAGUGUACAAAGGUAGCAAUGCUGUUGUAGCAAUUCCUCGGAAAACCACAUCGGGAAAGGGGAAAGAAUACACUGACCAUGCAGAGGCACGUGUACUGGACAAUAUAAAGAACUUAGCUAACCGUCGUGAGGGUAAAAUUCUGGUCCUCUAUUCAUACCUUUCUCCUUGUGGUGCUAAAUGUACAUCGGAAAAGAAUAAUUUCAAUAUCUUAAAAAAGAUCAGGAAUAACGUUAAAGGAAAAUGGAAAAGCUAUGCCUUUGUGUUUACUAAAGUAUUUAAGCCCCCGAAAGUUACACUUUCCGUAACUGAUAUCAAAGGGGCACUUUGUAAUCUAAGAAACGUCAUGGUUGACGACAACAUUUUCCGUUGUUUCCCAGGGAUAGCAAUGAAAUGCAUCAAGUGUUUCGAGUUUCCAGAAAACGCUGAACCUGUACAACAGUGUGUUGAAAACAAAUGGUAGAAAAAUGGGCAUGGAGUAGAGACGUUUUCAGGAUAACAGUUAGUCAGGUCCCACUGAUGGGGACCGAGGCAUUAACACAACUGGGUCCGACUAGAACGUUACUUUGAAAAAGUGAAUUCAUGCUCAACAACUCACUUGCUGCUUUAAACUGCAAGCUUACCCAAACACACUUGAGAUCUUUUCUUUGGUCCUAAACAUUAACCAACAGAAGCUUAACUUUUAGCUUCCCUUUUUUAAUGUUGUUCUGUGUAAAUAUUGUGAUUAAUGUUCGGUUCUUAUUGCAGUUUGGUCAUAAAAGGACUGCGCUGGCAUGGUUUGAGAGGCAAUUUGUUGUACUAUCCAAUAAUCCAAACAACAAAGAAAGGCCAACAAAAUAACAGUACGCUGUGCUUCAAAGUCCGGAACCACACAACAAAUUAAUAACUGUAAUAAACUGAUGUGUUGGUCAUAUGUGAGGGCAAGAGUGUCACAAAUAAAUGGGGAGAAUAUCAAUUUGGUGGUUGAAAAGUGCUAUAAGUCUAUUUCAAAGUAAUAUUAACUCAUAUUUUGUACUUUACAUUAGUAAUUACAUUUUCAAAUAUUAUUAGUAAUACUAAAUGUGAAGUUUGGAUGUGUGACUCAUUAUUUAUCAGAUUCAUAUCAUUGUACUCAACACUUCUGUAAAUCUUUAUCAAAUGUUUUCAGUUUUUUCUGAUUAAAGCUUUGCUAAGCAUUCA